CGCGUAGGCGGUUUGUACAGUCAGAUGUGAAAUUCCUGGGCUUAACCUGGGGGCUGCAUUUGAUACGUACAGGCUUGAGUGCGGAAGAGGGUCGUGGAAUUCCCAGUGUAGAGGUGAAAUUCGUAGAUAUUGGGAAGAACACCGGUGGCGAAGGCGGCGACCUGGUCCGUAACUGACGCUGAGGCGCGAAAGCGUGGGGAGCAAACAGGAUUAGAUACCCUGGUAGUCCACGCUGUAAACGAUGUGUGCUGGAUGUUGGGUGGCCUAGCCACGCAGUGUCGUAGCUAACGCGGUAAGCACACCGCCUGGGGAGUACGGCCGCAAGGUUGAA
rnacentral:rRNA from 1 species